rnacentral:rRNA from 1 species
AAUGAACGCUGGCGGCAGGCCUAACACAUGCAAGUCGAACGAGUGGCGGACGGGUGAGUAAUGUAUGGGAAACUGCCUGAUGGAGGGGGAUAACUACUGGAAACGGUAGCAAAUACCGCAUACCAUCGGAUGUGCCCAGAUGGGAGUAGCUAGUAGGUGGGGUAAAGGCUCACCUAGGCGACGAUCCCUAGCUGGUCUGAGAGGAUGACCGGCCACACUGGAACUGAGACACGGUCCAGACUCCUACGUGAGGCAGCAGUGGGGAAUAUUGCGCAAUGGGCGCAAGCCUGAUGCAGCCAUGCCGCGUGUAUGAAGAAGGCCUUCGGGUUGUAAAGUUCUUUCAGCGGGGAGGCGUUACCCACAGAGGAAGCACCGGCUAACUCCGUGCCAGCAGCCGCGGUAAUAC